UACGUAGGUGGCAAGCGUUACUCGGAAUCACUAGGCGUAAAGCGCAUGUAGGCGGUUCGGUAAGUCUUUUGUGAAAGCUCCCGGCUCAACUGGGAGAGGUCAAGGGAAACUACCGGGCUAGAGUGUGGCAGAGGAAGCUGGAAUUCCCGGUGUAGCGGUGAAAUGCGUAGAGAUCGGGAGGAAUACCUAUGGCGAAAGCAGGCUUCUGGGCCGUCACUGACGCUGAUCUGCGAAAGCUAGGGGAGCAAACAGG
rnacentral:rRNA from 1 species